GGGGUGUUAGCUCAGCCGGUAGAGCAGUUGACUUUUAAUCAAUUGGUCGUGGGUUCGAUUCCCGCACACCCCA
rfam:Candidatus Kinetoplastibacterium desouzaii TCC079E, complete genome.